GCGGCGGCUUAACACAUGCAAGUCGAGCGGUAACAGAGAUAGCUUGCUAUCUGCUGACGAGCGGCGGACGGGUGAGUAAUGCUUGGGAAUAUGCCUUUGAGUGGGGGACAACAGUUGGAAACGACUGCUAGUACCGCAUAACGUCUACGGACCAAAGGGGGGGAUGCUUCGACACCUCUCGCUCAUUGAUUAGCCCAAGUGAGAUUAGCUAGUUGGUAAGGUGAUGGCUUACCAAGGCGACGAUCUCUAGCUGGUUUGAGAGGAUGAUCAGCCACACUGGGACUGAGACACGGCCCAGACUCCUACGGGAGGCAGCAGUGGGGAAUAUUGCACAAUGGGCGAAAGCCUGAUGCAGCCAUGCCGCGUGUGUGAAGAAGGCCUUCGGGUUGUAAAGCACUUUCAGCGAGGAGGAAAGGUUAGUAGUUAAUAGCUGCUAGCUGUGACGUUACUCGCAGAAGAAGCACCGGCUAACUUCGUGCCAGCAGCCGCGGUAAUACGAGGGGUGCAAGCGUUAAUCGGAAUUACUGGGCGUAAAGCGUGCGUAGGUGGUUUGUUAAGCAAGAUGUGAAAGCCCCGGGCUCAACCUGGGAACUGCAUUUUGAACUGGCAAA
rnacentral:rRNA from 1 species